rnacentral:rRNA from 1 species
UGGACAACCUGCCCUCAGCUCUGGGACAACUCCGGGAAACCGGGGCUAAUACCGGAUACGACCGUCCCUCGCAUGGGGGUUGGUGGAAAGUUCUUCGGCUGAGGAUGGGCCCGCGGCCUAUCAGCUUUGUUGGUGGGGUGAUGGCCUACCAAGGCGACGACGGGUAGCCGGCCUGAGAGGGUGACCGGCCACACUGGGACUGAGGCACGGCCCAGACUCCUACGGGAGGCA